rnacentral:rRNA from 1 species
AUUGAACGCUGGCGGCAUGCUUUACACAUGCCAGUCGAACGGCAGCGCGGGCUUCGGCCUGGCGGCGAGUGGCGAACGGGUGAGUAAUGCAUCGGAACGUGCCCAGUAGUGGGGGAUAGCCCGGCGAAAGCCGGAUUAAUACCGCAUACGACCUGAGGGUGAAAGCGGGGGACCGAAAGGCCUCGCGCUAUUGGAGCGGCCGAUGUCGGAUUAGCUAGUUGGUGGGGUAAAGGCUUACCAAGGCGACGAUCCGUAGCUGGUCUGAGAGGACGACCAGCCACACUGGGACUGAGACACGGCCCAGACUCCUACGGGAGGCAGCAGUGGGGAAUUUUGGACAAUGGGGGCAACCCUGAUCCAGCCAUGCCGCGUGCGGGAAGAAGGCCUUCGGGUUGUAAACCGCUUUUGUUCGGGAAGAAAUCCUAUGGGCUAAUACCCCGGGGGGAUGACGGUACCGGAAGAAUAAGCACCGGCUAACUACGUG